UUUCCGGUUGAUCCCGCCGGACCUGACUGCUAUCGGAUUGAUACUAAGCCAUGCGAGUCUUUGUAGUAAUACAAGGCAGACGGCUCAGUAACACGUAGUCAACCUACCCUAUGGACAAGAAUAAUCUCGGGAAACUGGGCAUAAUUCUUGAUAGAUCAUAAUGCCUGGAAUGGUUUAUGGUUAAAAUGAUUCGUCGCCAUAGGAUGGGACUGCGGCCUAUCAGCUUGUUGGUGAGGUAAUGGCCCACCAAGGCGAUUACAGGUACGGGCUCUGAGAGGAGAAGCCCGGAGAUGGGUACUGAGACACGGACCCAGGCCCUAUGGGGCGCAGCAGGCGAGAAAACUUCGCAAUGUGCGAAAGCACGACAAGGUUAAUCCGAGUGAUUUCUGCUAAAGAAAUCUUUUGCUAGUCAUAAAACCACUGGUGAAUAAGGGGUGGGCAAGUUCUGGUGUCAGCCGCCGCGGUAAAACCAGCACCUCAAGUGGUCAGGAUGAUUAUUGGGCCUAAAGCAUCCGUAGCCGGCUUUGUUAGUUUUCGGUUAAAUCCAUGUGCUCAACGCAUGGGCUGCCGAAAAUACUGCAUAGCUAGGGAGUGGGAGAGGUAGACGGUACUCAGUAGGAAGGGGUAAAAUCCUUUGAUCUAUUGAUGACCACCUGUGGCGAAGGCGGUCUACCAGAACACGUUCGACGGUGAGGGAUGAAAGCUGGGGGAGCAAACCGGAUUAGAUACCCGGGUAGUCCCAGCUGUAAACGAUGCAGACUCGAUGAUGCAUUGGCAUAAUAGCCAGUGCAGUGUCGCAGGGAAGCCGUUAAGUCUGCCGCCUGGGAAGUACGUACGCAAGUAUGAAACUUAAAGGAAUUGGCGGGGGAGCACCACAAGGGGUGAAGCCUGCGGUUCAAUUGGAGUCAACGCCGGG
rnacentral:rRNA from 1 species